rnacentral:rRNA from 1 species
UUAAGCGACUAAGCGUACACGGUGGAUGCCCUGGCAGUCAGAGGCGAUGAAGGACGUGCUAAUCUGCGAUAAGCGUCGGUAAGGUGAUAUGAACCGUUAUAACCGGCGAUUUCCGAAUGGGGAAACCCAGUGUGAUUCGUCACACUAUCAUUAACUGAAUCCAUAGGUUAAUGAGGCGAACCGGGGGAACUGAAACAUCUAAGUACCCCGAGGAAAAGAAAUCAACCGAGAUUCCCCCAGUAGCGGCGAGCGAACGGGGAGGAGCCCAGAGCCUGAAUCAGUGUGUGUGUUAGUGGAAGCGUCUGGAAAGGCGCGCGAUACAGGGUGACAGCCCCGUACACAAAAAUGCACAUGCUGUGAGCUCGAUGAGUAGGGCGGGACACGUGGUAUCCUGUCUGAAUAUGGGGGGACCAUCCUCCAAGGCUAAAUACUCCUGACUGACCGAUAGUGAACCAGUACCGUGAGGGAAAGGCGAAAAGAACCCCGGCGAGGGGAGUGAAAAAGAACCUGAAACCGUGUACGUACAAGCAGUGGGAGCACGCUUAGGCGUGUGACUGCGUACCUUUUGUAUAAUGGGUCAGCGACUUAUAUUCUGUAGCAAGGUUAACCGAAUAGGGGAGCCGAAGGGAAACCGAGUCUUAACUGGGCGUUAAGUUGCAGGGUAUAGACCCGAAACCCGGUGAUCUAGCCAUGGGCAGGUUGAAGGUUGGGUAACACUAACUGGAGGACCGAACCGACUAAUGUUGAAAAAUUAGCGGAUGACUUGUGGCUGGGGGUGAAAGGCCAAUCAAACCGGGAGAUAGCUGGUUCUCCCCGAAAGCUAUUUAGGUAGCGCCUCGUGAAUUCAUCUCCGGGGGUAGAGCACUGUUUCGGCAAGGGGGUCAUCCCGACUUACCAACCCGAUGCAAACUGCGAAUACCGGAGAAUGUUAUCACGGGAGACACACGGCGGGUGCUAACGUCCGUCGUGAAGAGGGAAACAACCCAGACCGCCAGCUAAGGUCCCAAAGUCAUGGUUAAGUGGGAAACGAUGUGGGAAGGCCCAGACAGCCAGGAUGUUGGCUUAGAAGCAGCCAUCAUUUAAAGAAAGCGUAAUAGCUCACUGGUCGAGUCGGCCUGCGCGGAAGAUGUAACGGGGCUAAACCAUGCACCGAAGCUGCGGCAGCGACACUAUGUGUUGUUGGGUAGGGGAGCGUUCUGUAAGCCUGUGAAGGUGUGCUGUGAGGCAUGCUGGAGGUAUCAGAAGUGCGAAUGCUGACAUAAGUAACGAUAAAGCGGGUGAAAAGCCCGCUCGCCGGAAGACCAAGGGUUCCUGUCCAACGUUAAUCGGGGCAGGGUGAGUCGACCCCUAAGGCGAGGCCGAAAGGCGUAGUCGAUGGGAAACAGGUUAAUAUUCCUGUACUUGGUGUUACUGCGAAGGGGGGACGGAGAAGGCUAUGUUGGCCGGGCGACGGUUGUCCCGGUUUAAGCGUGUAGGCUGGUUUUCCAGGCAAAUCCGGAAAAUCAAGGCUGAGGCGUGAUGACGAGGCACUACGGUGCUGAAGCAACAAAUGCCCUGCUUCCAGGAAAAGCCUCUAAGCAUCAGGUAACAUCAAAUCGUACCCCAAACCGACACAGGUGGUCAGGUAGAGAAUACCAAGGCGCUUGAGAGAACUCGGGUGAAGGAACUAGGCAAAAUGGUGCCGUAACUUCGGGAGAAGGCACGCUGAUAUGUAGGUGAAGUCCCUCGCGGAUGGAGCUGAAAUCAGUCGAAGAUACCAGCUGGCUGCAACUGUUUAUUAAAAACACAGCACUGUGCAAACACGAAAGUGGACGUAUACGGUGUGACGCCUGCCCGGUGCCGGAAGGUUAAUUGAUGGGGUCAGCGCAAGCGAAGCUCUUGAUCGAAGCCCCGGUAAACGGCGGCCGUAACUAUAACGGUCCUAAGGUAGCGAAAUUCCUUGUCGGGUAAGUUCCGACCUGCACGAAUGGCGUAAUGAUGGCCAGGCUGUCUCCACCCGAGACUCAGUGAAAUUGAACUCGCUGUGAAGAUGCAGUGUACCCGCGGCAAGACGGAAAGACCCCGUGAACCUUUACUAUAGCUUGACACUGAACAUUGAGCCUUGAUGUGUAGGAUAGGUGGGAGGCUUUGAAGUGUGGACGCCAGUCUGCAUGGAGCCGACCUUGAAAUACCACCCUUUAAUGUUUGAUGUUCUAACGU